GACGAACGCUGGCGGCGUGCUUAACACAUGCAAGUCGAACGGAAAGGCCCUGCUUUUGUGGGGUGCUCGAGUGGCGAACGGGUGAGUAACACGUGAGUAACCUGCCCUUGACUUUGGGAUAACUUCAGGAAACUGGGGCUAAUACCGGAUAGGAGCUCCUGCUGCAUGGUGGGGGUUGGAAAGUUUCGGCGGUUGGGGAUGGACUCGCGGCUUAUCAGCUUGUUGGUGGGGUAGUGGCUUACCAAGGCUUUGACGGGUAGCCGGCCUGAGAGGGUGACCGGCCACAUUGGGACUGAGAUACGGCCCAGACUCCUACGUGAGGCAGCAGUGGGGAAUAUUGCACAAUGGGCCGAAGCCUGAUUCAGCAACGCCGCGUGCGGGAUGACGGCCUUCGGGUUGUAAACCGCUUUCGCCUGUGACGAAGCGUGAGUGACGGUAAUGGGUAAAGAAGCACCGGCUAACUACGUG
rnacentral:rRNA from 1 species